GAGCAGAGCGAGAGAGAGCCUGGCGGAUGGGCCGGAGAUGCCGCCUCCGCCUCCACGCCGCCGCCGCCGCCGUGCCAGCCGUGCCAGGAGGACUCUGAACAAUCAACUCCCAAAGAUGUCCUGAAAAAGGAGCCUUCUUCUGCCUGUAGAAGGAUGACAAUGAAAAGUUCCAAUCUAACUUCUCUAGGAACAGUGUUUCAGAUCAUGAGGACAAUAAUCAAAAAGGGCCUGUGUUUCCACCUGAUAUAUAUGUGAAGUAGAUGAAACAGAAAGAAGACCCCCAGAGGAUCUCAAAACACGGACAGGAUCAUUCAGAUCAACUGGACCUUUACCUACUGUGCCUGUAUUCAUAUAUGUUAGUGAUGAUGAAGAGGCUGAUUCUCCAUGCCCAGAGCCUAUAACAUUGGAGCAUACUCUGGAAUAUUGGGAUCCCAUGUGUGGGUGCUGGUGGGAUUGGAGAUGGUAUUAGGGACAGAAGGAUCCACAUGACCAGUCUCAAUCUCAGAGUUCCACAUGUAGGUAUGAGAAAGCAGCAUUCAUCCAUCAACAAAAACAGGACAGGUUAUCAUAUGCACAGUUAGGGAAGAAAUCCAAAUGUAGUUCAUAUAUACAUGCACAGCUCUUGAUUUAACCACGACUUUGCAACACAACUGGCCCAAGUGAAAAGUAUGUUGCAUGAACACAUUAUUUUUUAAUCCUUCAACAACACUGCAUUGACUACAGUGUUUUUAACAGAGAAUACUAUCCAGCUACAGUAUAGAGACAUUCACAUGUGUAUCAUUUUUUUUCCUUUUAUAAUUUAAUGGAUCUUCACAGUCGUGUGUUAUGUCCCUAGUUGGGGUUUUAUACAUUUCCCUUGCAAAUAAGUGCAACAUAUCCUAUAAAAAUAAGAGAAAUUCUAGCCUUUGUUCUUCACUGCGAUGAAUUUCAAACAAAAUUAAGCUGGUAUUUCCUUGGUUACUUAUUAACCACAGUUCAUUUAACAAAAUCAAUAUUUCAGGCAAAGAGGUAAACACUUGCCACACCGACCUGUCUUUUUUCCUUUACAUUUACAAGCUGUUUUUUUUUAAAAAAGAAGAAUAAAAUGCAUCUGCCUGGAAACCAGAGGGGAACGAGGAACAGUGCCUCUUAUCCCAGGGAUAUGCAAAGCACAUUUUAUUUUGCCUUUUAUCUCUCCAAUUGUAUGUUGAUCCCAUACAUAUAGAUUGAUUUUGCACAGGUAGAUAAUGAAAAGUCAAGGGGGAAAAUUUACACAACGGCACUCAGGAUCUCAGCUCUCUAUUGGUAUAUAAAUUGGUUUAUUAUUUCAUUCUCUUAAAGAGGGCCAUCCACACUGGGGAGCAUUUUAAAAUCUUUUAUGUUUAAACGCAAACCCAUUUACCAUUUGUCUCCUCUUUUUUCCGUUUGUAAUUUCCACAGCAUUUUGGGUUUAAUUUUCAAAUAUAUUUAUGUGUAAACAUACUGUUGCUUAUUCCUAACUCCUGCAUCCGUCACCUUGUUCCGACAGUCAAGGCUCUCAAGCCGAAUUUCUGACAGGAGGACAGUGACAGCUGGGAGCCCAAGACGUAUGUGAGAUCCAAAGCAGAACAUAUGACUAAGACCUGGAGGAAAAUAGAACAACAAGGGGAAGAAGAAAAGCACCUGGGAAAAAUGGAAGAAAAUAUGUUUUUAAAAAAAACCUAAGACCUACUUUCCAAGACAAAUUGGGGUUGUCUAAAGGUUGGCAGCUACUACAAGAAGAAAGAAGAUAUUGAAGCUUAUUUAAAAUGAAUAUAUUCACAUGGUUCCUAUUUUUUCAUUUUUUUUAAAAAAAGAAUCCAAAUCAUUAUUUUCUGCCUAUGUUCUUUUCUCUCUCAGAUGUGAUUUUUAUUGACGAUUUCCCCUUUAUAUGAGCAUUCAUACCAUCUAACCUGCAUGAUGUCUUGUUUGAAAGUCCAAUUGAAAAACAUAUUCACCUUUGCUUAAAUGUGGAUUGUAAAACCAGCCAUUUGGAGCUUGUAGUAUCUUUUCAAUGUAAUCCAAUGGAGCCAGCACUUCCUUCCACAAUAUCUUUUAAUAGCUAUCUAUGAUAGGAAUAGGCAAAAUGUGAUUGAUGGUCUCUAGAAUUUGCAGCUGUAUCUCCUCACUUAAGUUUUUUGGCCCUGAAUCCAAAUAACCAA